UACGUAGGGGGCAAGCGUUGUCCGGAUUUAUUGGGCGUAAAGGGCGCGUAGGCGGCCUGAUAAGUAGGGGGUGAAAUCCUGCGGCUUAACCGCAGGGCUGCCUUCUAAACUGUCAGGCUUGAGCACAGUAGAGGCAGGUGGAAUUCCCGGUGCAGCGGUGGAAUGCGUAGAGAUCGGGAAGAACAUCAGUGGCGAAGGCGGCCUGCUGGGCUGUUGCUGACGCUGAGGCGCGACAGCGUGGGGAGCAAACAGG
rnacentral:rRNA from 1 species